rnacentral:rRNA from 1 species
CAGUCGCCGCGGUAAUACGUAGGGUGCAAGCGUUAAUCGGAAUUACUGGGCGUAAAGCGUGCGCAGGCGGUUAUAUAAGACAGAUGUGAAAUCCCCGGGCUCAACCUGGGAACUGCAUUUGUGACUGUAUAGCUAGAGUACGGCAGAGGGGGAUGGAAUUCCGCGUGUAGCAGUGAAAUGCGUAGAUAUGCGGAGGAACACCGAUGGCGAAGGCAAUCCCCUGGGCCUGUACUGACGCUCAUGCACGAAAGCGUGGGGAGCAAACAGGAUUAGAGACCCCUGUAGUCCCUGUCUCUUAUAU